CCCUUAGAUGUUCUGGGCUGCACGCGCGCUACACUGAAGCUAUCAACACGUUUUCCCUCCCUGAGAGGGGCGGGUAACCUUUUGAAUCAGCUUCGUGGUAGGGAUCGGGGCUUGCAAUUGUUCCCCGUGAACCAGGAAUUCCUAGUAGACGCGAGUCAUAAGCUCGCAUCGAUUAAGUCCCUGCCCUUUGUACACACCGCCCGUCGCUACUACCGAUUGAACGUUUUAGUGAGGCAUUUGGACCGACGCAUCUCAGUUUAACCGCUGGUUUGUGUUGGAAAGACUUCCAAACUUGAGCGUUUAGAGGAAGUAAAAGUCGUAACA
rnacentral:rRNA from 1 species